AGGGUUCGAUCUGGCUCAGGAUGAACGCUAGCUACAGGCUUAACACAUGCAAGUCGAGGGGCAGCAUUGGGGUAGCAAUACUCAGAUGGCGACCGGCGCACGGGUGAGUAACACGUAUCCAACCUGCCGCUUACUCGGGGAUAGCCUUUCGAAAGAAAGAUUAAUACCCGAUGGUAUAAAGAGUUCGCAUGUUCUCUUUAUUAAAGAAUUUCGGUAAGCGAUGGGGAUGCGUUCCAUUAGAUAGUUGGCGGGGUAACGGCCCACCAAGUCUACGAUGGAUAGGGGUUCUGAGAGGAAGGUCCCCCACAUUGGAACUGAGACACGGUCCAAACUCCUACGGGAGGCAGCAGUGAGGAAUAUUGGUCAAUGGACGAGAGUCUGAACCAGCCAAAAGUAGCGUGAAGGAUGACUGCCCUAUGGGUUGUAAACUUCUUUUAUAAGGGAAUAAAGUGAGGGACGUGUCCCUUUUUGUAUGUACCUUAUGAAUAAGGAUCGGCUAACUCCGUGCCAGCCGCGGC
rnacentral:rRNA from 1 species